rnacentral:rRNA from 1 species
CGCAAGCCUGACGGAGCAAGACCGCGUGGGGGAGGAAUGCCUUAGGGUUGUAAACCCCUUUUAUCUGGGAAGAACAAAAUGACGGUACCAGAUGAAUAAGCCUCGGCUAACUCCGUGCCAGCAGCCGCGGUAAUACGGAGGAGGCAAGCGUUAUCCGGAUUUAUUGGGCGUAAAGAGUCCGUAGGUGGUGGGGCAAGGCGGCGGUUAAAGACUGGGGCUUAACUCCAGAAGAGCCGUGGAAACUGCACCACUAGAGGGCGGUAGGGGUAGAGGGAAUUCCCGGUGUAGCGGUGAAAUGCGUAGAUUUCGGGAAGAACAUCGGUGGCGAAAGCGCUCUGCUGGGCCGCAACUGGCACUCAGGGACGAAAGCUAGGGGAGCG